UACGGAGGGUGCAAGCGUUGUUCGGAAUUACUGGGUGUAAAGGGUUCGUAGGCGGUGUAGCAAGUCGGGAGUGAAAUCUCUGGGCUUAACCCAGAGGCUGCUUCCGAAACUGCUGUGCUUGAGUGUGGGAGAGGCGCGUGGAAUUGCAGGUGUAGCGGUGAAAUGCGUAGAUAUCUGCAGGAACACCCGUGGCGAAAGCGGCGCGCUGGACCACUACUGACGCUGAGGAACGAAAGCUAGGGGAGCAAACAGG
rnacentral:rRNA from 1 species